UACGUAGGGCGCAAGCGUUAUCCGGAAUUAUUGGGCGUAAAGAGCUCGUAGGCGGUUUGUCGCGUCUGCUGUGAAAUCCCGAGGCUCAACCUCGGGUCUGCAGUGGGUACGGGCAGACUGGAGUGCGGUAGGGGAGAAUGGAAUUCCUGGUGUAGCGGUGGAAUGCGCAGAUAUCAGGAGGAACACCGGUGGCGAAGGCGACGUCCUGGACCGGCAUUGACGCUGAGGCGCGAAAGCCAGGGGAGCAAACGGG
rnacentral:rRNA from 1 species